ensembl:lncRNA
GAGACGCACGGUCCUGUGUAAUCCUCACCAUGUAAGGUUCAGACAUUAGCAGGUCUGUUAGUUUUGUGCAUUAGAUACAAACUCUCGAUGACUGUUCGUCUCUUGAUUUUAGACUUCCAAAGAGAUGCCAUGUCAGGCUGCUGAUGUGGACAAAUGCAGUUCCUUUGCAGUCAUUCCAAAGACUUCCAAAGAGAUGCCAUGUCAGGCUGCUGAUGUGGACAAAUGCAGUUCCUUUGCAGUCAUUCCAAAGACUUCCAAAGAGAUGCCAUGUCAGGCUGCUGAUGUGGACAAAUGCAGUUCCUUUGCAGUCAUUCCAAAGACUUCCAAAGAGAUGCCAUGUCAGGCUGCUGAUGUGGACAAAUGCAGUUCCUUUGCAGUCAUUCCAAAGACUUCCAAAGAGAUGCCAUGUCAGGCUGCUGAUGUGGACAAAUGCAGUUCCUUUGCAGUCAUUCCAAAGGACUGUGUUCAUGAUCUUGUCCCUGAAGAAAUGUCAAGUUUAGAAAAAUGUGUCACAUGUGGAGGACCCUUUUCACCUCUGAAAUGGUCAGGGGUGAGGUGUAAAGUUUGCUAUGAGUCCUGGCACAAAAAGUGCUAUGUUAAGCACAAGGUGAACAUCACUGAACCUCUUCCAGUAGUAAGUGUUUUAGUAGAAUUAUUCUCAGUGAAAUGCUUUCCAAGUACACAAAAUAUAAAUGUAUUUUUUAAUCAUUAUCAGGUUUGUGAAGAACAAAGUUCAAGUGAGGUUGCAUCAUCAGAAGAGGAAUAUGUGCCUGAUUCCACAGCGGAUUCGAACAGCUCAUGGGACAGCAUAGCAGAGCCUUUAAAAAUCAGUGGCAGUCAACAUUUAGAAUUACAGAAUUUUGAGGGGUGCGCCAGCAAUUCUAUUUCCAAAAAAAGACACCAAGAAACUUUUGUAGAGGCAGAGAGAGAGUCUGUUUCUGAAGCUGCAGAAUCAAGUCAGCUUGAAGUAUCGGGAGAUACUGCCAAAGUAGGAAAUGCUGAAGGCAUAAUUGUUGAUGAUAGCGCUGAUGCUGGGGCUGAACAGAUCUCAAACACAUCCUCCUCUCUCAAAAAUAAAACUUACUGCUACAUUUGUGGAAAACUACAGACAAAGUUUACACGUCACCUAAAACGUCAUGAGAAAACUCAUGCAGAUGUUGCUCAAGUUUUAAGUCUUCCCAAGAAGUCCAAACAGCGCCAGAAAAUGCUUAUAAAGCUACGCAACAAGGGAAACCACAUUCAUAACUCGGAGGUCUUAGCAAGUGGAGUUGGAUCCUUAAAACUAAGACGCACAGCAAAGACAAAAUACAAUGCAAAAGACUAUAUUCACUGCAUGUACUGCCAGGCAUUAUAUCUCCGAAGAGAUCUGUGGCGACAUGUGAAGAAAUGUUCUUCAAAACCAGUAGAAGCCAAUUCAGAGAUUGGAAGAAAAAAGGUAUUGUCUUUGGCCUCUAUGAAUGAGUCAGCUCUUUCUCAGCAAAUAUCCCCAGGUGUUUGGAAGAUUUUAGCUGUCAUGAAAGACGAUGAGAUAACUGCUACUGUGCGAAGUGACUAUUCUAUUCUUCAGCUGGCCCAGUCAUUUUUUAAUAAACAUGCACAGGAUCCCACCAAAUAUGACUAUAUUCGCCAGACACUCAGAGAAAGUGGAAGACUUCUGCUUACGCUUCGCAAGGAAUUCUCAAUACAAACUCUUGAAGAUGCUGUGAGACCAGCAAAUUUUGAUGUGGUGAUCAAAGCUGUUAAGAAAGUGUCUGGGUACGAUGACGAAAAGCACUGCUACCGUACUCCAAGCCUUGCAUUAAAGUUGGGUCACUCACUCCAGAAAGUCAGUGACAUUUUACAUUGUAGAGCACUGAUGGCAGAAGACAGUAACCUGAUAAAGUCAACCCAGAGUUUUAAAAACCCUCUAUGCUACAAAGUGGUCAGAACUCAUCUCCCACACUGCUUUAACUACGCUAAAUGAGCGCCACUUUAACAAGCCUUCCACUCUUCCUUUUACGAAAGAUGUUCAGUGUCUUCAUAGACAUCUGGAGAAGUCUACAGAACAAGCAUUGAAGGACUUGGAUGACCAUAGUUCACCAAAAUCAUAUAGUGAACUUUGUAAAGCCACCAUGGCAAAUGUAAUACUUUUUAAUAGGAGAAGAGGGGGAGAAGUUUCAAAGAUGACGCUGAAUGGUUUUCUGGAGAGAGACACAAGUGCCCUGCACAAGGAUGUCGCUUUUGGACUGACACAAUUUGAACUUCAUCUUUGUCAACACUUCAGUCGUGUUGAAUUAAGGGGUAAAAGAGGCCGGAAAGUUGCAGUGUUACUUUCACCAGACAUGGUGAUGGCAAUAACACGCCUAAUAGAGAAAAGAAAAGACUGUGGUGUUCUGGCAGAAAACCUGUUCCUGUUUGCCAGGCCUCAUUGUCUGACUCCCUACAGAGGACAGGACUGUUUGAGGCUCUAUGCGAGUGAAUGUGGGGCUGAAAACCCUGAGCUCCUCAGGUCCACGCUAUUACGGAAACAUGUCGCAACUUUGUCACAGAUCUUGAAUCUCAAGAAUCAUGAGUUAGACCAAGUUGCUGACUUUCUUGGGCAUGAUAUUCGCGUUCAUCGUGAAUUUUACCGACUUCCAGAGGCUACUACCCAGCUGGCCAAAAUCUCCAAAUUACUGCUUGCCAUGGAGAAAGGUUCUCUCAGAAACCUUCAAGGCAA